rnacentral:sRNA from 1 species
UUAUAAGAAUCUAUAAAUGAAUGUGUGGGUUGGGUUCUGUUAACAUUUGACCUUACUUAGCUCACUUAGCGCGCAGAGCGGCGGUGGAGCAGUGGCAGGAUGAGCAGACAAAGCGUUGACAAUGGCACAAACAAAAGAAACAGAAAACAGACGAGCAGAUAAUGGACGUAGCGUUUGUGGGGCGAAACGGAGACGAGAGGAGACCAAUGGCAAAACGUAUUUACAUAGCUUAUACCUACUAUGUAUGGUCGGGAUAAGCUCCAUUGUUUUACGAGUAUGCAUGCAAGUAGAAACAAUGCCGGGACGAAGGAACGAGACAUUCAGAGAUGCUUCGCCUUCAGAUUGCAGAGGUUUCCAGAGGUAUGCAGGUACCUGCACCGGGUUUCGUGGUAAAGGAUGCGCUGUCAGUUAUUGGGCAUUCGUUGGACAUUCGCAGAUUACCACUAACUAGAUGAAUGUGAAGGCUACACAUACAUAUAUGUACGGAAUCAAUUAGGGAACGGGUUAAAUCGGUCUUUAGGACUCGAAUCCUAUAGAUUCCUAGAAUUAAGUCAUCCAAUACUCUAGUCCAAUAACAUUUAUAUUUAAUUAAUAAUCAUUAAGAUCAUUUGAACACGUUGGAUAAAGAUAUUCCUUCCUAUUUUUUAUUUAUAUCAAUAAAAUGCGCUGAAGGAACCAAAUUUCCAUUUUAUAAUGGCAAUAUUUUCAAAUUAAAUACCAUGUAAAUAGUAUUAUAAAUUAUUUUUCAUGAAUUAUACUUUUUUCGUUUCCACAUAUAAACCUAACCAUCUUCCGCCCCUUAAUUUUUAAAUUAAAUAUGAAAGCGCUUCCCUUGAUAGCAUUUAAGUAAAUUUAAUUUGUUGGUUUUGUUGCAUGAUUUGAUGGUCUAAUACAAAUCGAACUCGUUUCGGUUUCGCGUUCGCUUCACAUAAAAAUUCCACUAAAUUAUAAAUUAAUGAACUAAUAGUAGGAUGCGGCGGCAAUCGGGCAGUCACAGUCAUGAUAA